rnacentral:rRNA from 1 species
UGUCCUGGACCCGAAGCGGGAUGAUCUAGCCCUGGGCAGGUUGAAGCGCGGGUAAGACCGCGUGGAGGACCGAACCCACCUGGGUUGAAAACCGGGGGGAUGACCUGGGGCUAGGGGUGAAAGGCCAAUCAAAUUCCGUGAUAGCUGGUUCUCUCCGAAAUGCAUUUAGGUGCAGCGUCGGUCGAUUGCGUCGCGGGGGUAGAGCUACCGGAUGCUUGCGGGCCCUUGUUGGGUACCAACAGCAGCCGAACUCCGAAUACCGUUGACGUGUAUUCCGGCAGUGAGUCGGCGGGGGAUAAGCUCCGUCGUCGAGAGGGAGACAGCCCAGACCGUCGUCUAAGGUCCCGAAGCGUGUGCUAAGUGGGAAAGGAUGUGGAGUCGCAUAGACAGCCAGGAGGUUGGCUCAGAAGCAGCCAUCCUUGAAAGAGUGCGUAACAGCUCACUGGUCUAGUGGUUCCGCGCCGACAAUGUAGCGGGGCUCAAGCACACCACCGAAGACGCGGCAGCAAUCUUCAUGGUUGCUGGGUAGGAGAGCGUCCUGCGAGGGGCGAAGCGGCCGGGUAACCGUGCCGUGGACUUCGUGGGAGUGAGAAUGCAGACAUGAGUAGCGAGAGACGGGUGAGGAUCCCGUCCGCUGGAUGACCAAGGGUUCCGGGGCCACGUUCGUCGUCCCCGGGUGAGUCGGGUCCUAAGGCGAGGCCGACAGGCGUAGUCGAAUGGAUGAACGGGUGGAUAUUCCCGUACCGGCAGCGAACCGUCCGAACUGAACGGAUGAGUACUAACCUCCGGUCGCGUGGCGUCGUUCCCUUCGGGGUUCGGGGCGCGCGAUUGUUGGGAAUGUAGUCCUGGUAGGUUAGCGCACAGGGGUGACACGGAAUGGGAGCCGGCCGCGGAGGUGGUUUUCCGUGGUCAAGCACGCAGCCAGUCAUGUAGGCAAAUCCGCAUGGCGCGCAUGGCGAGGUGUGAUGAUGGGAGCCGUUAUGGCUCGAUAUCCGGUUGUCCAGGCCGUCGAGAAAAGCCUCGGCGUGAGGGCCAUGGCCGCCCGUACCCCAAACCGACACUGGUGGUCAGGUAGAGAAUACCAAGGCGAUCGAGCGAAUCCUGGUCAAGGAACUCGGCAAAUCACUCCCGUGCCUUCGGUAUAAGGGAGACCCACUGGGGUGAAGGACCUUGCGUCCGGAGCUUUGGUGGGUGGCACAGACCAGGGGGUAGCGACUGUUUACCAAAAACACAGGUGCAUGCGAAGGCGAAAGCCGCUGUAUAUGCACUGACGCCUGCCCGGUGCCGGAAGGUUAAGAGGAUCCGUCAGCCUUCGGGUGAAGCGGUGAAUUCAAGCCCCGGUAAACGGCGGUGGUAACUAUAACCAUCCUAAGGUAGCGAAAUUCCUUGUCGGGUAAGUUCCGACCUGCACGAAUGGCGUAA